rnacentral:misc_RNA from 1 species
UACGGAGGGUGCAAGCGUUACUCGGAUUUAUUGGGCGUAAAGAGCACGUAGGCGGUUCUGUAAGUCUGGUGUGAAAUCCCUCGGCUCAACCGAGGAACUGCGCUGGAAACUGCAGGACUUGAGUACGGGAUAGGGUGGUGGAAUUCCCAGUGUAGAGGUGAAAUUCGUAGAUAUUGGGAGGAACACCAGUGGCGUAGGCGACCACCUGGACCGAUACUGACGCUGAGGUGCGAAAGCGUGGGGAGCAAACAGG